CAUAUUAACAUUAUUAUUUAUGUCGGGAUUAAGUUUUGAACUAUAUCCGUACUCUUAAUUUGUGCUUUCCUGAAAUUUUUGUGGCUGAAAGAGUAAAAGGAAACCAUGCGAAAAUGUUCCUAAACAGUGCUGGGAAUUCGAAAAUUUACGAAUUAGCUAAAUUGUCUCGCAUGAAAACUGACCAGCUCGCCUCCUCACGCGGAGGCUAAAAACACCUUGUUGCUGGAGACAUCAUUCUCACUGGCCAUCUAAAGGUCACGGUGCCUCCAAUGGACAACCGCACUGAUACCUGCGGAUUUCCGCUUGUCAACUAUACUAUCGAGAAUGCGUACGCUAGGCGCAUACGGCUUUGUGAGACAACCAAGGAUCCUACGACAGCAUAUACUGUCCUGCUGCUACUUCCCUUUGGAAUAUUGGGUAACGGUCUUGGGACUCUUUUGCUGCUGGCCAGAUGCUGCACGAAAUGCAAAUGCCGUGCGGUAGUCUCAUGGCGAACUCGAGCCAAAAGCUGGAACAGAUUUGUUUUGGCAUAUCUAAAUCUUCGUUUUCUUUACUGGUGUGUAUAAUCGUAACUGCCAUUUGCUAGAAAGCAAUCGUAGCAAAGUUUCUGUUUAUCUGUUUAAGCUUAUCAUUAUGGAAUUUGUCGCGGCAGGGCUGGAAUAAAUGAACUGCGCUACUA